rnacentral:rRNA from 1 species
UUCCCUCAGUAACUGCGAGUGAAGUGGGAAAAGCUCAAAUUUGAAAUCUGACAGUUUCUUAAUUGUCUGAGUUGUAAACUAGAGAAGUGUUACCUGUGCUGGACCAUAUACAAGUCUUCUGGAAUGAAGCAUCAUAGAGGGUGAGAAUCCCGUCUUUGAUAUGGACUUUGCCAGCACAUUAUGGUAUGCUCUCAAAGAGUCGAGUUGUUUGGGAAUGCAGCUCAAAAUGGGUGGUAAAUGCCAUCUAAAGCUAAAUAUUGGCGAGAGACCGAUAGCGAACAAGUACCGUGAGGGAAAGAUGAAAAGAACUUUGGAAAGAGAGUUAAACAGUACGUGAAAUUGCUGAAAGGGAAACGCUUGAAGUCAGUCAUGUUGACUAGAAAUCAGCCUUGCUUUUGCUUGGUGCACUUUCUAGUUUGACAGGUCAGCAUCAAUUUUGAUCAUUGGAUAAGGUCUUUGGGAAAGUGGCAUCCUUGGAUGUGUUAUAGCCCAUUGUCAUACACAUUGAUUGGGAUUGAGGAGUUCAGCACGCUGUAAAAGCUGGGUCUCUUUUGACCACAUUCGUGCUUAGGAUGCUGGCAUAAUGGCUUUAAUCGACCCGUCUUGAAACACGGACCAAGGAGUCUAACAUGCCUGCGAGUGUUUGGGUGGAAAACCCAUGUGCGUAAUGAAAGUGAAAGUUAAGAACCUUUUUUUAUAAAGGAGCAUUGACACCUGGACCAGACCUUUUGUGACGGAUCCACGGUAGAGCAUGCAUGUUGGGACCCGAAAGAUGGUGAACUAUGCCUGAAUAGGGUGAAGCCAGAGGAAACUCUGGUG